UGACAAUUUUCCAGCGGUGGAUGUGAUGUGGAGUGAGUGGAUGGUCUCAUUCUGUUUGUGACGGUCUGUGCUGAGUUUUACAGAAUUACACAAACCAACCUGAAGAGUACCUUUUUCUCUUCUUUGGAUGAAUACACGUUAAAGAUGAUCAUGUUGUACCGAUCACUUGGUGGUGUCUAUGGAGCUGAAAUGAAGACCCUCCUAGACCAACUUGAUAAUCAAGCUUCUGAUGUGCUUGCUCAAAGAAAGGCUACAGCUCUCAAAGGUCUACCUUUGUUUAUGAGGGAAAAGUCUGGAAACUUCCUGAAGACUUACCU